rnacentral:misc_RNA from 1 species
UUUCCGUAGGUGAACCUGCGGAAGGAUCAUUAAUGAGUUGUCAUGGGGUUCGAUGCUGGCAGCCAAUUUUUGGAUGCAUGUGCUUGCCCUAACAAUCAUCUUCCAAACACCUGUGCACAUUUUUGAGGGAGUCUUGAGUUGGUUGCCGCUCUUGGGUGAUUUUCUCACAUUCCCUUAAAUCAUUAUACGCUAUUAACAAUGUUGAACGUGCUCUGUGCCGCAAGGCUAUUAAUAUAAUGCAACUUUUAACAACGGAUCUCUUGGCUCUC